GGGGGGAGAAAGACUGGUUUCAGUGAACACUUUAUUGUCCUUCAAUUCGUCAAAUACAGUGUUGCAUUUAUGACAAUUCCACAGUCACAUCUUUCCCUCAGAACCUUUGGCCAAUUGAACAUAGCUAAAAAUGUUGACAUCCCUGCAUAAAACACUCCAUAACAAUCACAUAAAAAUAUAUAUUUUUAAAUACCACAAAAUGCUUUACAUCCCCACAACGGCCUGCCUUCACAAGAUAAUGGCUAUUGAAAGACGCUCCAAACCUUACUUGAACACAGCCAGAUAUGUAGCACCUGUUUAGUUCAUGGUAAAUGGAACAACUAGCCUUGCAUCAAAGAAGUCCAUCAAAGGACAUUCCUGGACUUAAACUGGUCACUUGCAUGAAGUUGUUCCUGUAACAAGUCUGGAUAGACAUGGCAGACAGAUAAAUAUAUUGUAAAAGCUAACCCAUCACAGUAAAGUAAAAUGGCCUAUCAGUGUAUUUUAUGUAUUCAGUCCACUAAGAAUAUUAUUCAUCAAGCCAGAAACAGUCAUGAUAGCCACAACAGACAGCAUUACAUCAUCGUGCACAUGUUGAUUUUGUUUCUCCCCACCAGACGCAUUCAUGACACGCAGAUUAAAAUACCAAAAUCAAUUAUAUUCAUUUGGGGACAGGUCGAAACACAUGAGACAUUUCGCUAGCCAAUUUGUUCUGGGAAAUAAAUAUUGGGUUAGUUUACGCAAAAAUAAAUAAGGUAUUUUUUUUGUGGAUCAUUGUAGAAUUGACACAUUUGAAAUACAAAAGUCGACAAUUAAAACACAAAAGCGGAAACCUAGUUAACAUCACAUUCAGCGAGUUGAAAGUUCUAUGUUUAGCACCUGACUACGCAGACACCCGCGUGCAGUUUGGAUGAAAUGAUUGAAUAACAUGCAUACAUUCAUUUCGCAAUGCUCGUGCACGGAACUUGGCAGGUCUAGUCAGCAUGCUACACUCCGUAGAACAGGACACAUAACAGAAAUGUAAAAGUUAGGAAAUCUCAACGGCAGUACAGUAUGGUAAAUGUGCACGGACAUUCUAGACGUGUGAUGUAAUUCGCUGUAUGAGUGACUGUACUAGCAUGGCCGAGUGAGGCGGUUGAGGAGGACGUUUAGACCCCUCUGUGACCAAGAAACCUCUAUGUCAACUAUUAGACCCUGUCCUAACCAAAGAGAGGCUGUGUUUACACAGGCAGCACAAUUUAGAUUUUCUUGACACUCAUGUCUUGUGACCAAUCGGAUCAGCUCUGAAAAAGAUAAAAUAAAUCAGAAUUGGGCUGCCUGUGUAAACACAGCCUCAGAGACCCAGACAUUGAGCUGCUGUUAAUCGACUUGGCAAGCAGUGCUGUGACCAGGGGACAGAGCAGUGCUGUGACCAGGGGACAGAGCAGUGCUGUGACCAGGGGACAGAGCAGUGCUGUGACCAGGG
ensembl:lncRNA